GCUCCAUUUAGCGAGCACAUUACUGCUACCUUUAGAUUGUAUAUUUAUUUGGGUAGAAUGGGACACUGAUUAAAAAAAGGUGGAGGGGAAACUAAAGUACCUUUACACAGCCCACCAUUUACAUGUGCCACUGCAAUUUGAAUAUACAUGUACCCCCUUUUACACUUUUUAUGCAGGAACAAAGGACAUGAAGAAAAACUUCUAUCUUAUUAGAGCUGGAAGAGAUCUAAGAAAUCAUCAGGUCUGUAGUCUGAUGGCCACACAAGGAGCUAAAGAAAAGGGAAGGAAGACAAUUAAAAAAAAAAAGAUGGUGAAUGAUAUGUUAAAUUCUGCAAUGAAGACUACGAGCAGACAAGUGCAUCUGUCAGUAAUUUUAUCUAAGAACUCACGCAAGUUCUUUUAACAAGCUCCCAAGGACUUCAGUGUGACAGACCCAUGAGCAACAGCAACUGCAAAGCAAGGCUGAAGGCUAGCCCUGCUUCUAGCUAACUGUAUACCUUUCACAGCAUCUUGAUUUUCUUUAUUCAAUCAGUUGUCUUCCUGCCCCUCCAUGAUAAGCAGUUUGGGAUCUCUGCUAAAUCGCUUAGAAAACUCAAAAACAAACAAUACCCAACCCUACUUUAAAAAUCCUGUUGCCCCCACGUGCUCCUGUGCAUCUGCUGUGCUCAUGCCCUCUUCCCACUGUCAUUUCCAAGACAAGGUUUCUAUAUAGUGCUGGGUUAUGCCCUGUGAGCAACAGUGAAAACUGCCCACAAAAGGAUAAAUAAAAGUAAAGAAAAACCAACAAGUGAAACAAAAAUCCCAUCAAAAGCCAGGCACGGUGGUUCACACCUGUAAUCCCAGCACCUUGGGAGACCGAUGCAGGCAGAUCACUUGAGGCCAAGAGUUUAAGACCAGCCUGGCUAACGUGGCAAAACCCCAUUUUUACCAAAAAUACAAAAAUAAGCCAGGCCUGGUGGCACACACCUGUAGUUCCAGCAACUCAGGAGGCUGAGACAAGAGAAUCACUUGAACCCAGCAGGUGGAGGUUGCAGUUGAGCCAAGAUUGCACCACUGCACUCCAGCCUGGGUGACACAAUGAGACUUCGCCUAAAAAUAAAACAAAAAAACUGCAAAUGAAGAAAGGAAGAAAAAAAAUUGGACUCUAUUUACAGAUGGGAUGAGUAUGUAUAUGGGAAAUUCCAAGGAAUCUGUACAAUAACUACUAAAAUUUAUAUGAAUUACUGAGAUUGCAGAACGUAAAGUUAAUACCAGAAAGGACUGUAUUGUUGUAUACUAGCAGUAAACAAUUGGAAAAUAAAUUUUAAAUAUUUGAUCUUUAAGAGUAAAAAAGGAAAAAAUAUUUGGGAAUAUAUUUAAGAUGUGUGAGUACUCCUCAUGGAAAACUACAAAACACUGCUGAGAGAAAUGAUGGAAGAAUCUCAUAAAUGGAGAAAUAAAACAUGUAUCAAUUUACUGAAAGAUUCCAAGUCUUAGUUCAUUGGAAGAAUCAAUUGUUACGAUGUCAGUUCUAACCAAAUUGAUCUAUGGGUUCAAAGCAAUCCCAGCCAAUAUUUCAACAGGCAUUCAGUGAAACACUGAAAUUGACAAGCUGAUUCUAAAAUUUAUUUAGAAAUUUGAUGGAUCUAGAAUAGCUCAAACAAUUUUGGAAAAAACCAAAGUGAAGAACUUGUACCAUCUACAGUAAUCAAGACAGUGUUGUUGUAUCAACAUAAAAAUUGCUAUCUGAAACAAUGCAACAGAAUAGAGUCCAGAAAUAGAUCCAUACUUAUACAGCCAAUGACAUUUAAUAAAUGUGUCAAGGAGAUUCAAUGGUCCUGAAACAAUCAGAUAUCCAUACUUGAAAAUAUCAAUUCUUACCUCAAACUGCAUACAGAAAUUAACUCAGAAUUAUCAUAAGCCUAAAUUAAAGCCUAAUGCAAUAAAAUUCCAAGAAAAGGACGGAGAAAUUUUACGGCCUUGGGUUUUCUAAAGACUUCUUAGCUAGAACAAAAACAAUGAACUCUAAAGGAAAACAUCAGACUUACCAAAAUUGAAAACUUUUGCUCUUUGAAAAAGACAUGGCUAAGUACAUGAGAAAAACAACACACAGAGUAUUAGAAAAAGAUUCAAAGUAUGUAAUCAACAAAGAACUUGUCUCCAGACUAUAUAAAGACCCCUUACAUCUUCAUAAUAGGAAAGCAAAGAAUUCAGUAAGAAAUGAACAAUUUGAACAGACACUUCACUAAUGAAGGCAUAUAAAUGGCAUAAAAAGAUAUAAAGCACAUUAUUCAGGGAAAUUGAAAUUAUUAUUCAUCAGGUAAAUUGAAAUUAAAACUACAAUGAUAUGCCACUAUCCAUCCAUUAGAAUGACUAUAAUUAAAAAGAUUAGCAAUAACAAAUGUAAGUGACGAUGUCAAGCAACUGGAACUCUCAUCCUUCGCUGGUGGGUAUGUAAUAUGGUGCAAUCACUUUGAAAAAGCUGUUUUGUAAUUUCUUGAAAAGGUAAACAUAUGACACAGACAUUCCACUCCCAAGUAUUUACACAAAAGAAAUGAAAACAUAUGUCCAAAGACUCGUACACAAAUAUUUAUAGAAGUUUAUGCAAAAUAAUCAAAAAUUGGAAACAAUUUGCAGCUUUCUGUACUAGAAACAAAACUGGAUAUAAGCUAUAUGUCCACCAACAGGUGCUGGAUCAACAAAGAGGAGUGCAUCUAUACAAUGGGGCAUUAUGCAACAAUUUUCAAAACUACUAAUUUAC
ensembl:lincRNA